UACGGGGGGGGGCAAGCGUUUGUUCGGAAUUACUGGGCGUAAAGGGCGCGUAGGCGGUCCGUUAAGUUAGAUGUGAAAACUCUGGGCUCAACCCAGAGCCUGCAUCUAAUACUGACGGGCUAGAGUUCUGGAGGGGGUAGCGGAAUUCCUGGUGUAGCGGUGAAAUGCGUAGAUAUCAGGAGGAACACCGGUGGCGAAGGCGGCUACCUGGACAGAAACUGACGCUGAGGCGCGAAAGCUAGGGGAGCAAACAGG
rnacentral:rRNA from 1 species